AAUGAGGUUGUAUGUAGAUUGGUGUUUGAGAAUAGCCUCGAUUAAAGUUGAAAUUAUUAUGAUUUUCAAGAAAAAUUACAGUCUUUUACGCAAUUUGAUAAUUGUUUAAUGGAUUAUUGAUUUUGUCGGAUUAUUUUUUUCGCUAAAUUGAAAAAAAAAAUGAAAAUUAUAAGUAAACUGGAUCGUGCACGCGUUAGCGGAUUGUUUAAGUGGUCAAUAAAUGUAAGUAAUUACCUGGAUUGAAUGGUUUCUGUGAGAUUUAUUGGACAAAUUAAAAUAAGAUGUUAAACGCAUCAAUAUUUUGAGUGAAAUUAUCAUAUUAACUCUACAGUUACGUAUAGAAAGCAGAUCAUUU